GGCUUUCUUCGCGGCGGAGCUCGACCGCCCAUCGAAGUGAUUGUCGUCUUCAUCGACGACAAUCGUCACGAGUUCGGAGUCGAGCCAAUCGUACGCGCCCUGUCCGGGACUGCGGCACGGAUUGCUGUG
rfam:Brevibacterium casei S18 Contig28, whole genome shotgun sequence.